rnacentral:rRNA from 1 species
GAGGAAUAAGCAUCGGCUAACUCCGUGCCAGCAGCCGCGGUAAUACGGGGGAUGCAAGCGUUAUCCGGAAUCAUUGGGCGUAAAGCGCCUGUAGGUUGUUUAAUAAGUCUGUUGUUAAAGACUAGGGCUCAACCCUAGAAAAGCAAUGGAAACUACUAGACUAGAGUAUGGCAGGGGUAGAGGGAAUUUCUAGUGUAGCGGUGAAAUGCGUAGAUAUUAGAAAGAACACCGGUGGCGAAAGCGCUCUACUGGACCAUUACUGACACUCAGAGGCGAAAGCUAGGGUAGCAAAAGGGAUUAGAUACCCCUGUAGUCCUAGCCGUAAACGAUGGAUACUAGAUGUUGUAUUUAUUUUACAGUAUCGUAGCUAACGCGUUAAGUAUCCCGCCUGGGGAGUACGCUCGCAAGGGUGAAACUCAAAGGAAUUGACGGGGGCCCGCACAAGCGGUGGAGCAUGUGGUUUAAUUCGAUGCAACGCGAAGAACCUUACCAGGGCUUGACAUACUGCGAAUCUCUUUGAAAGGAGAGAGUGCCUUCGGGAAUGCAGAUACAGGUGGUGCAUGGCUGUCGUCAGCUCGUGUCGUGAGAUGUUGGGUUAAGUCCCGCAACGAGCGCAACCCUUGUUUUUAGUUACCAACUUGUUGGGUUUUCUAGAAAGACUGCCGGUGACAAACCGGAGGAAGGUGAGGAUGACGUCAAGUCAGCAUGCCCCUUAUGUCCUGGGCUACACACGUGCUACAAUGGUUAGGACAAAGAGUCGCAAGUUUGCAAAAACAAGCUAAUCUCAUAAACCUAACCUAAGUUCAGAUUGUAGGCUGCAACUCGCCUACGUGAAG